rnacentral:rRNA from 1 species
GAUGAACGCUGGCGGCGUGCCUAAUACAUGCAAGUCGAGCGAACAGACGAGGAGCUUGCUCCUCUGACGUUAGCGGCGGACGGGUGAGUAACACGUGGAUAACCUACCUAUAAGACUGGGAUAACUUCGGGAAACCGGAGCUAAUACCGGAUAACAUAUUGAACCGCAUGGUUCAACAGUGAAAGACGGUCUUGCUGUCACUUAUAGAUGGAUCCGCGCCGCAUUAGCUAGUUGGUAAGGUAACGGCUUACCAAGGCAACGAUGCGUAGCCGACCUGAGAGGGUGAUCGGCCACACUGGAACUGAGACACGGUCCAGACUCCUACGGGAGGCAGCAGUAGGGAAUCUUCCGCAAUGGGCGAAAUCCUGACGGAGCAACGCCGCGUGAGUGAAGAAGGUCUUCGGAUCGUAAAACUCUGUUAUUAGGGAAGAACAAAUGUGUAAGUAACUAUGCACGUCUUGACGGUACCUAAUCAGAAAGCCACGGCUAACUACGUG